rnacentral:rRNA from 1 species
GACGAACGCUGGCGGCGUGCUUAACACAUGCAAGUCGAACGGAAAGGCCCUGCUUUUGUGGGGUGCUCGAGUGGCGAACGGGUGAGUAACACGUGAGUAACCUGCCCUUGACUUUGGGAUAACUUCAGGAAACUGGGGCUAAUACCGGAUAGGAGCUCCUGCUGCAUGGUGGGGGUUGGAAAGUUUCGGCGGUUGGGGAUGGACUCGCGGCUUAUCAGCUUGUUGGUGGGGUAGUGGCUUACCAAGGCUUUGACGGGUAGCCGGCCUGAGAGGGUGACCGGCCACAUUGGGACUGAGAUACGGCCCAGACUCCUACGGGAGGCAGCAGUGGGGAAUAUUGCACAGUGGGAGGAAGCCUGAUGCAGCAACGCCGCGUGCGGGAUGACGGCCUUCGGGUUGUAAACCGCUUUCGCCUGUGACGAAGCGUGAGUGACGGUAAUGGGUAAAGAAGCACCGGCUAACUACGUG